ACUUAAUAACAAUGUAACUGGAAAAAAAUGUUGUUGUAGUGAACUUGGAUUUAACAAAAUAACAUUAAUAGUUAUUAAUGGGCCAAAAUUGCCCGGACCCAUCAGAAACCAAAAUCAAAAUAAAAAAUAAUAAUAAUGGUCCAUUUCACUACAAGGCCCAAACAAAAUACAGGCCCAAACCAAAGAACCUAGCCUAGAAAAAUAGCCCAAAAUAUAAAACAAAAAAAACCUAGCAGUUUAGGGUGUUGCGCCUCCAUGUGCGCCCUCGGCAUGCAUGGCGCCCAAGGUUCAACCUCCGUUUCAUCGAAAUGGCCGUCUACAGCCUCGUUGACCCCUUGUAUGCCUGCAAAAGAAAGCAAAAAAGAGCAUAAAAAGGAAACAAAGCAAGGCCAUAAAGCAAAAGGAAAAAAGACAGAGCAGAGACAAAGCAAGAAAACAAGCAAAAGCAUAGACGAUAGCAAUAAUAUUAAAUCGAUAUAUUUCUCGGCUAUAUAAGCCUAAAAACGAGAUAUUGUAAAGGCUACACAGAGCAUAAUCGAGCAAUAAAAAAAACAAAAGGUUGAAUGUUCAUUUUCUUUCUUUAUUUUUUGGUUUCAUUUCGUUUAUUACUAUUAUUUUUCUUUUGUUUCUAUUACGAAUCUAUUUUUAAAAAAAUAAGUGAAGGAAUCUCACCGAAAUCCCGUGUCACCUCGACGGAUCUAUUCUCCAUCGUCAGAAUCUGACUUAAAGGGAAAAGAGAGAGACCUUUUCUUUCGCAUUUUCUGAGUUUGUAAAGCGCUUUGCUUUCGGCUCUAUUGAAAAGGGCUGAAAAUCUGGUCUUCGCGUGGCUGGAACCACCCCCCUCGGUGGCUUUGUGCGAUGAUGGGUUUCUUUUGAAACCCUAGCAGAGCACAAAUGAAAAUGGGGAAGAGGGGGCUACUCUCCUUCUGUUUGUUUUGCAGAAAAAAAAGGGAAGAAAUAAAAGAGUAAAAAAAUUUAAUUUAAAC
rnacentral:lncRNA from 1 species